CCAGACUCCUACGGGAGGCAGCAGUGGGGAAUAUUGCACAAUGGGGGAAACCCUGAUGCAGCGACGCCGCGUGAAGGACGAAGUACUUCGGUACGUAAACUUCUAUCAGCAGGGAAGAAAAUGACGGUACCUGACCAAGAAGCCCCGGCUAACUACGUGCCAGCAGCCGCGGUAAUACGUAGGGGGCAAGCGUUAUCCGGAUUUACUGGGUGAAAGGGAGCGUAGACGGCCGUGCAAGUCUGAUGUGAAAACCCGGGGCUCAACACCGGGACUGCAUUGGAAACUGCAUGGCUGGAGUGUCGGAGAGGCAAGUGGAAUUCCUAGUGUAGCGGUGAAAUGCGUAGAUAUUAGGAGGAACACCAGUGGCGAAGGCGGCUUGCUGGACGACGACUGACGUUGAGGCUCGAAAGCGUGGGGAGCAAACAGGAUUAGAUACCCCAGUACC
rnacentral:rRNA from 1 species